rnacentral:rRNA from 1 species
UCGAGAAUCUCCGGCAAUGGGCGCAAGCCUGACCGAGCGACGCCGCGUGGAGGACGAAGGCCUUCGGGUUGUAAACUCCUGUCGAGGGGGAGGAAGGCGCAAGCUUGACCGAUCCCUGGAGGAAGCACGGGCUAAGUUCGUGCCAGCAGCCGCGGUAAGACGAACCGUGCGAACGUUAUUCGGAAUUACUGGGCUUAAAGCGCGUGUAGGCGGGCCGGCACGUCCGGUGCUGAAAUCCCCCGGCUCAACCGGGGAAGUGGCACGGAUACGACCGGCCUUGAGGGGGGUAGGGGGGUCUGGAACUUCCGGUGGAGCGAUGAAAUGCGUUGAGAUCGGAAGGAACGCCCGUGGCGAAAGCGAGGCCCUGGACCCUUACUGACGCUGAGACGCGAAAGCCAGGGAAGCGAACGG